UGUUCUAAUUUGUCCUCUUCUGCCUUAAUAUAGUCUUUCAGGGAAGUCACCAGAUCUUUCUCUGUAUGGAUCAAAUCAGUCAUCUGACCUAAAAGGAGGAGAAGGAAAGGUCAUCAAAUACCUGCAUUGAUCAGCACAAGUAUUUUAGAAUAAUUUAAAAAUGAUCAAGAAUGCUUCAUUCUUUGAGAAGAUUCAACUAGCAUUAAACACAGAUAUAUUGGAGAAAAUAUGUUUUUUCCUCCUUUUUUUUAACCAGAUAAAGACAAAAACUUU
rnacentral:lncRNA from 1 species